UGUAUGUAUAUAUAUAUAUAUAUAUAUAUAUAUUUACUUCUCUCUUAACCAUCAGCAUGAUACUAGGAAAAUAUAUUAUCAUUAUCAUCAUCAUCAUCAUCAUCUUUAUCCUUAAUAGAACUGGGAAAAAUAUACCAAAGUCUACUACAAAAUUGUUGCUGCUUCUUCAAAGAGGCUCUCAUAGUAAAUGGGCAGUGCAUUAGUUUAAAAGAAAAGAAAAGAAAAAAUCGAAAGAAAGAGAUGGAGAGAGAGAGAAAAAAAGAAAGAAUGAGUGAGAAAGGUGUGUCACAAACAAUGAAGUAAAGUAAAAGAAGUACUGAAAUAAAAUUUGAAAGAAAAAAAAAUGAUAUAUUUAAAACCACAAAAACAUAAUUUAUACAAAUAGUAAUGAUUAUGAAUCUGAACCAUUUCAUACACA